UAACACAUGAAGUGACUGAAGCAAGAAAGGAUUGUGGUUGAUAGAUGCUGCCUUUCUCUUUUAAUUCCAGAGAAAAGCAUCAAAGAAUAAUUCAGUAGCACUGAGCCAGCUUGGAACUUGCUGAGCAGGAAUUGCCCAAAAGAGUGGAGAAGAAAGAAGACAACGUUUCACCCAAUUCUUUCUCUGCUAUGUUACUCACUCACUGAAGAGCUUACAGACCCUAACUGGAAUUUCUUCUCCCAGGCGAUGCCAACUGCUAUCUUGUCUUUUCUCCAAGGAAUCUGGAAACUUGUACACUAAGAAAAC
rnacentral:lncRNA from 1 species